UACAGAGGGUGCGAGCGUUAAUCGGAAUUACUGGGCGUAAAGCGCGCGUAGGCGGCUUUGCAAGUCGAGUGUGAAAUCCCCAGGCUUAACCUGGGAACUGCAUCGAGACUGCAUAGCUAGAGUAUGGGAGAGGGAAGUGGAAUUUCAGGUGUAGCGGUGAAAUGCGUAGAUAUCUGAAGGAACAUCAGUGGCGAAAGCGACUUCCUGGACCAAUACUGACGCUCAUGUGCGAAAGCGUGGGGAGCAAACAGG
rnacentral:rRNA from 1 species